rnacentral:rRNA from 1 species
AGGACUAACGCUGGCGGCGUGCCUAACACAUGCAAGUCGAACGAGGGGUAGCAAUACCCCUAGUGGCAGACGGGUGAGUAACACGUAGUCAACCUACCUCUUAAUGGGGGAUAACUAGCCGAAAGGUUAGCUAAUACCGCAUACGAUCGUCGAGUGGCAUCACACGACGAUGAAAGGAGCAAUCCGUUGAGAGAGGGGACUGCGUCCCAUUAGUUAGUUGGUGGGGUAAUGGCCUACCAAGACUCCGAUGGGUAGCUGGCUUGAGAGAGCGACCAGCCACACUGGAACUGAGACACGGUCCAGACUCCUACGGGAGGCAGCAGUGAGGAAUUUUCCGCAAUGGGGGAAACCCUGACGGAGCGACGCCGCGUGUGGGAAGAAGGCCUUCGGGUCGUAAACCACUGUCGAGGGGGACGAUAUUGACGGUACCCUGGAGGAAGCCCCGGCUAACUACGCGCCAGCAGCCGC